CAUAUACUCCCUCGGUUCCGAAUUACUUGUCUUAGAUUUGUCUAGAUACGGAUGUAUCUAGCACUAAAAUGAGUCUAGAUACAUUUGUAUCUAGACAAAUCCAAGACAAGUAAUUUAGAAUAGAGGGAGUAUAUA
rfam:Triticum urartu cultivar G1812 contig126581, whole genome shotgun sequence.